AUUGAACGCUGGCGGCAGGCCUAACACAUGCAAGUCGAGCGAGCGGCGGACGGGUGAGUAAUGUCUGGGAAACUGCCUGAUGGAGGGGGAUAACUACUGGAAACGGUAGCUAAUACCGCAUACCAUCAGAUGUGCCCAGAUGGGAUUAGCUAGUAGGUGGGGUAACGGCUCACCUAGGCGACGAUCCUUAGCUGGUCUGAGAGGAUGACCAGUCACACUGGAACGGAGACACGGUCCAGACUCCGACGGGAGGCAGCAGUGGGGAAUAUUCCACAAUGGGCGCAAGCCUGAUGCAGCCAUGCCGCGUGUGUGAAGAAGGCCUGCGGGUUGUAAAGCACUGUCAGCGGGGAGGCGUUACCCGCAGAAGAAGCACCGGCUAACUCCGUGCCAGCCGCCGCGGUAAUAC
rnacentral:rRNA from 1 species